rnacentral:rRNA from 1 species
GACGAACGCUGGCGGCGUGCUUAACACAUGCAAGUCGAACGGUGAAGCGCCUUCCUUUUUGGUGGGUGUGGAUGAGUGGCGAACGGGUGAGUAACACGUGAGUAACCUGCCACCUUCUUCUGGAUAACCGCAUGAAAGUGUGGCUAAUACGGGAUAUUCUGGGUCUGUCGCAUGAUGGGUCUGGGAAAGAUCUUGUUUCGGUGGGGGAUGGGCUCGCGGCCUGUCGGCUUGUUGGUGGGGUGAUGGCCUACCGAGGCGGUGACGGGUAGCCGGCGUGAGCGGGUGGACGGUCACACUGGGACUGGGACACGGCCCAGACUCCUAGGGGCGGCCGCAGUGGGUAAGAGUGGACGAUGGGCGCAAGCCUGAUGCAGCGACGCCGCGUGAGUGAUGGAGGCCUUCGUGUUGGGAACCUCUUUCGCGAGUGAAGCAUGCCUUCCUCGGUUGUGAGUGAGUUGACGGUAGCUGGAUAAGAAGCGCCGGCUAACUACGUG